rnacentral:misc_RNA from 1 species
AACACUGUUAACCUGCGGUACCUGCGGAAGGAUCAUUACCGAGUUUACAACUCCCAAACCCCUGUGAACAUACCUAUACGUUGCCUCGGCGGAUCAGCCCGCGCCCUGUAAAAAGGGACGGCCCGCCCGAGGACCCCUAAACUCUGUUUUUAGUGGAACUUCUGAGUAAAACAAACAAAUAAAUCAAAACUUUCAACAACGGAUCU